UACAGAGGUCUCAAGCGUUGUUCGGAUUCAUUGGGCGUAAAGGGUGCGUAGGUGGCGCCGUAAGUCAGGUGUGAAAUUUCGGAGCUUAACUCCGAAACUGCAUUUGAUACUGCGGUGCUUGAGGACUGGAGAGGAGACUGGAAUUUACGGUGUAGCAGUGAAAUGCGUAGAGAUCGUAAGGAAGACCAGUGGCGAAGGCGGGUCUCUGGACAGUUCCUGACACUGAGGCACGAAGGGCAAGGGAGCAAACGGG
rnacentral:rRNA from 1 species